ACUAGCAAUUGAAUUGCAGGUAUUUGUAUUCAGUGUGAGUGUCUUGCAGUUUUUGUAGUCUCAGUUUUCCACAGACAGAUCUGUUUUUAAUCAAUCACAAUAUUUUACAGAUAAUGGGGAGGUUCUUCAGUGGGCUGGCUCUGUCAGGAGCUUGGUGUUGUUUUGAAAAAUUUAACCGAAUGAAUAUUGAAGUGUUGUCUGUCAUUGCUCAGCAGCUCAUAACCAUGCAAAAUGCCAAAGCUGCAAAGGUACACACAAAACAAACGCACACAUGAUUCUGACUUAUGGCUUAUAUAAAUCAACAUUUCAAAUGAUUAGAAAUUAUUAUUUAAUGUUAAGUUUGUGUAAACUACUCAAACUUAAAGUUAAAUUAAAAAUAAAAUAUGGCAUACCGUACCAUACAUCUCUCGGUCUAGUUCAGGACACACAACUAUAAUGGGGAAGAUUGGUGACAUACAGUUGAUAGCUGUAUGUCACCAACACACUCCACAAGGACGGUAAUGGGCCGCCUGUAUCCUUGCUGGUCUCACCCCCAUAAACGGCACUGCAUGCCAAAAAGGAUGUCAGACUGCAGAGACACUUAAAGCUCCCUUUAGAUCAAUAGCAAUUAUGAUUCCAAACUGUGCUCAUAUUGCAGAAGUAACUGGCAGUUUUAGUGUUAUCCUAAUUUCUCAUAUAUACUGUGUCUCUAUAAAAUGAUUCAUCAAUUCUUUUUUCUUUGAUCUGUUUUAUUGACUUAAGCUCAGCUGCAUCUAUAAUCGCUAAAACUGUUUCUCUGUUCUCCAUCCAGGUGAUUUUAUACCCAGAGGGAUUUGGGUCCAGUAUCCUAGCAAGGAAAAUGACCCACAUGUACAAGCUGUGCUCAGAGCAACUGUCCCAGCAGGACCGCUCUGACUUUGGGAUGAGAGCUGUCCAAAUCUGUUGUGGUCAUGGCAGGGACGUGACACGCUGGCAAUCUGUCCAGGCUGUACCCUCCCUCUCGCCCUAUGGUAGCUGGGAAGCGGAAGAGAAUGGAUGGAUGAAUGAUGGAUAAUGGAUGUUCACUGAAGGUCACUGAAGAGAGAUAACCCUCAACAUUACUCCGACACCCAGUGUGUGCAUAUCUGAUGGAGGUGUUUAAACAGUAUGUGGAGAACGGUCUGCAGUUUAUGUUGAAUCAUUGUACUAAGCAAUUCACCAGGUGGGCAUCAAUAAAGCAACUACUCUGUCUUCUUUGCUGGAGGCUUCGCUGCUGGGUAACAGAGUGCCAGACCUCUAAAUAUGGUAUAUUUAACACAAAAUGUAACUGUCACCUUUUCUAUGAUGCCUCAAAAAAUCAGUCAUUUGGUUCAAACAACAAUUUUGUAUCACAGAUUUGACAAUCAAAUAAAAUAGGUUUAGGUUUUACUUAAUUUUUAACCAUGUUGUUACUUACUAAUUGAGAUACUUUAUUUUUGUGUACCUAUUUUUGUUUGGGUGGCAGAACCCCAGGCACCUCAGUAGUGUACUAUGUCAAACCUUCAUAUUUUUGCUGCCUUUCACAGUUAUCAGAGAUCAGUUUGAGGACAACAGCAAUGCUAAGGUAUGAACCUGUGCUUACAUCCACCAAUACGUAUAGAAAUUGGUGAGCUGAAAGGAACUGCGAACUUUGAUAACAUAAACUAAAUUUGAAUAUUGUGAAAGGUUACCAUUUAUAUUUUGGGAAAGGUCAGUACAUCCAACCACAAUAAUGGAGAAGAUGACUAACUUAGAGUUAUGUGGAUGGCAGAUCUUCCGCAAGAAUGGGAAUGUCAUUACUGAAAAGGCUGGCUGUUUAGUACUGUACCGAAGUAUAUUAAUGGAACUUUGAGCUGAAGGGAAAGUGCAACAGGAACAGUGCAAAUGAAACAGGGAUGACCUCGGCCUUGGGAGACUUAUCAGUUUAAGAACUUGGGAAGAAAUAUACAAGGACUGGACUGAAGCUGUUGUCAGUAGAUCAAGAGCUACUUCCCUUCAGGAAAGGAACUACAACUGUUACAUUACUAGGAGUUCAGUCAUUUGCGAGAGGCUCAGAGUAGAGCUGCCACUUCUCCUCGUUGAAAGGAGCCACUUGAGGUGGUUCAGGCAUCUGAUUAGGAGAGCUGGAAAAUGAAAAAAUGAAAAACAAAACAAACAAAUAAAUAAAUGUUAGUUUUCAUGGCUGCUGUCAGAAAGGCUUAAUGGUGGCUCAAAUCAAAGAUGAUACUUUUGGUAUUGGAAUUCAGAGUUAAACUUUGUAUGCAAUUAUUCAUGACAGUGUUCUAAAGAAUUUUUGGGUGACUUGAAAUUUGUGCUAGCUGAGGCUCCCUUAACAGGAUUACUGUCUUCCUGUCUUCGUCGACCUCUCUGCUCAGACUUCCUCUGUCUUCAAUUUUCCUGGAUUCUAUGACCAAAACGUGGUUUUCUGGAAGGAGAUCCAGGGAUACAAAUAAGAUGAGCUACACUAAAAUAAGACCUUUGAAAAUAUGUAUAUAUGUGUAUAUAUGAGACUCUGGUUGCUUGGAGUUACCACCAGCUGGUUGGUAGUAUCUGGUAGAACGUCCCCUCUUUUAGAAUUCUGCAAACAGUGUAAACAGUGUAAAGAUGUUUUAGAUAGACCACAAAAAGGAGCAUUCUGAGAUUUGGGGAAUUAAACAGGUUUGCCUUUGAACUUUGAAAGUCCUACAUGCACAGCUGGGCUAGACUAGCUAAGCAUCAACCUUUUGUUUUCUAUAUACAUAUAUAUAUAGUUCCCCAAACUACUGCCUACAAGUAGACCAGUUUUAGAACUCACAGAAAUCUCUCUAGACAGAUCUAGUCUGGAUGUCUUCCCUCUUUCCAGUUUUUGGGCAAGGCUAAGCUGUUUAGAAACUGUAUUUACCUCACAGAGAUAAAAUGGAAAUCAAUGUCCUCAUCUAACCGUAGAAAAAAUGAGGGCCUUUUCGGCUGAGCACAGCCUUUGGCCUUUCGGCAUCUUUAGAUUUGCUUAAAAUUGUUUUUUUGUUCAGUUAAAAAGUGUAGAUAUAGCUCUUUUGUUUUUGCUUUUACUCAAUCAGCAUGAACCUUAUUUGUUCUGUUUGGUGUUUUUAAUGAAGACUGCCCAUUUAUUUAGGAAACCCAUUUAUCUUGUGUGCUAUGUGUGAGGGGUUUUUGGGGUUUUUUUGUUUGUUUUUUUAAGGAAGUUUGCUGCCUUAACCCGUGCUACGAACACACGCACAUGCACACAUGCCCCACAACUAAUGCUUCCUUAGAUUGCUUUCCUAGAUUUUUUGAACAUUUCUGUUCCGUCCUUAAGUGCUCCAUAUCAGUUGAACCUCAAAUUGAACAUCGUUUUAUUUUCAUUGGUGACAUGUUGUCAAGAAAAAGUAAAACACUGUUAGUCUGAUGUUGGUAGAAAUGUUAGUAGCCUUUCUGUGGAAUGUCAAGCUUUAAAGCAACAGCGGUGCUAUUAUUGCUAACUACUGGGGAAAUUUCAUGAAUUUUCUCAUGGGGGAAAACUAUUUUAUGCUUUUUGUCAGUUUUUCAAUAGUCCCUCCAUCCUUUCUGUUUCCUCACAGCAGCAUGUGGUUCUCCACGAGGAGGACACAGCACUGUGAUGGCCAGAUUCACUUGCCACUUCAGCAUGUUGUGCCUGCCAACAUCCUUGGGAAAUAGCCUCAAACAGAGCUUCAAAGUCAGGAGUCCCCCAAAAUACUCACACAUAUGCACUCACACAUUAAUAUAUGCAAGUACUUCCUUCAGUGAGUUCUCACAUUUGAUUUUUUGACUGUUACAGUUUCUUAGGUAUGUCCAUUGCAGUAUUAAUUUUCAGUAUAUUAACCUAUAUGCCAUCUCAUGCUUGUUACAACAUCUUUUCAUACCCAACCUCCUUUCAAGCUAUCCUGAGCAGUUAGUUUUCUCUGGCAGUGAAGGAUUGUGCCAGCAGAAUCUGGAUGCAGCUGUGGAGAUUUACAACCAUUUAAGUGUGGAUCUUCUGCCUACUUCAGCCAAGUCCCACUAAGUUUUAUUCUCUGGGACAUCUCCAAGUGUGUCUAAGGUGAGACAUAAGCAUACAUAUUGCUGGGACAGAUAAUCACUGGAUCAUUGGACACCCAGGUUUCCAGUUGCAGUCACAACUACUAUAUAACAAUAAAGGAACUGCUAAGACAUUGAAAUUUAUCUUGUCAAAUGUACUAAAUUGACAAGAUAAGACAAAAGUGAAAACUUGCACAAAAUAGAACAAAAUUAAUCAUCACAGGCUACUUAUGCCACGAUUUACUCAUUUAAUUAUUAUUCCCAACAACACAAAUGUAACUUUUGUUUUACUAAAGAGCUUGACACAUAAAGAUUGUCUUCAUGAACAACAUUUGGAAAUUCUGCCUCUCUUGUUUUUCUCUGUGUUUUUUAUUCUGUUUGAGAAUUUUUCUAUUAGCAAUAGUACUGUGCAAA